AUUGAACGCUGGCGGCAGGCCUAACACAUGCAAGUCGAACGGUAACAGGAAGAAGCUUGCUUCUUUGCUGACGAGUGGCGGACGGGUGAGUAAUGUCUGGGAAACUGCCUGAUGGAGGGGGAUAACUACUGGAAACGGUAGCUAAUACCGCAUAACGUCGCAAGACCAAAAAGGGGACCUUCGGGCCUCUUGCCAUCGGAUGUGCCCAGAUGGGAUUAGCUAGUAGGUGGGGUAACGGCUCACCUAGGCGACGAUCCCUAGCUGGUCUGAGAGGAUGACCAGCCACACUGGAACUGAGACACGGUCCAGACUCCUACGGGAGGCAGCAGUGGGGAAUAUUGCACAAUGGGCGCAAGCCUGAUGCAGCCAUGCCGCGUGUAUGAAGAAGGCCUUCGGUUGUAAAGUACUUUCAG
rnacentral:rRNA from 1 species